rnacentral:rRNA from 1 species
GACGAACGCUGGCGGCGUGCUUAACACAUGCAAGUCGAACGGCAAGGCCCUGCUUUUGUGGGGUGCUCGAGUGGCGAACGGGUGCGUAACACGUGAGUAACCUGCCCUUGACUUUGGGAUAACUUCAGGAAACUGGGGCUACUACCGGAUAGGAGCUCCUGCUGCAUGGUGGGGGUUGGAAAGUUUCGGCGGUUGGGGAUGGACGCGCGGCUUAUCAGCUUGUUGGUGGGGUAGUGGCUUACCAAGGCUUUGACGGGUCGGCGGCCUGAGAGGGUGACCGGCGACAUGGGGACUGAGAUACGGCCCAGACGCCUACGGGAGGCAGCAGUGGGGAAUAUUGCACAAUGGGCGGAAGCCGGAGGCAGCAACGCCGCGUGCGGGAUGACGGCCUGCGGGUUGUAAACCGCUUUCGCCUGUGACGAAGCGUGAGUGACGGUAAUGGGUAAAGAAGCACCGGCUAACUACGUG